UCACCAAUAGCCCUCUACAUAGUCCAACUGUGCCAGAACGUAGAAUGGGUCCUGGUCUUUCCCUUACAUAACAUAGCAUAACAUAACAGUCCAACUGUGCCAGAACGUAGAAUGGGUCCUGGUCUUUCCCUUACAUGGUGCCAGCGAACGUAGAAUGGGUCCCACUGGUCUUACAUUCCGCACUGUACGUAUCACAUCGUCAUAUCAUAGAUCGAGGGCUUUGGAUCAUCCAACGUUCAUCCACAUCAAUCAACAAUAAAGUAUGCAAUGUAACAUAUUCGUGAAUUCUAA
rnacentral:lncRNA from 1 species